GUGCUUGCUUCAGCGUUGCAGAUACUAAAACUGGAGCGAUUCAGAGAUUAGAACAGCCCCUGCACAAGGAUGGAAGGCACAUUCCUGAAGAGUCAUGCUCCAGA
ensembl:snRNA U6 U6 spliceosomal RNA